rnacentral:rRNA from 1 species
GACGAACGCUGGCGGCGUGCCUAACACAUGCAAGUCGAACGGGACUUAGUGGAAUGCGGCUUCGGCCAAAGGAAGCUAAGUUUAGUGGCGAACGGGUGAGUAACGCGUGAGGAACCUGCCUCGGAGUGGGGAAUAACAGUUAGAAAUGACUGCUAAUACCGCAUAAUGCAUAUUGAUCGCAUGAUCGAUAUGCCAAAGAUUUAUCGCUCUGAGAUGGCCUCGCGUCUGAUUAGCUAGUUGGCGGGGUAACGGCCCACCAAGGCAACGAUCAGUAGCCGGACUGAGAGGUUGGCCGGCCACAUUGGGACUGAGACACGGCCCAGACUCCUACGGGAGGCAGCAGUGGGGAAUAUUGGGCAAUGGGCGCAAGCCUGACCCAGCAACGCCGCGUGAAGGAAGAAGGC